rnacentral:lncRNA from 1 species
CUUUCCCAUCCAUUUCUUUUUAAGCUCAGUGUACCUUACUCUCAUGAGGGAGGUUCCAAGCUUCUCACUCAAUAGCCAACGCAUAUAGCAGUUGUAAUGGCAAUAUGUGUCACCAUAGAGGAGCUAUGAAAUCCCCUUUCAUGUAUUGUAUAGGUAGACAAUAAAAGGGCACAUCUUCAUUGACUGGCAUAACGAGAAUUAGAAGCAAUAUC